rnacentral:rRNA from 1 species
GAUGAACGCUGGCGGCGUGCCUAAUACAUGCGAGUCGAGCGAACGGACGAGAAGCUUGCUUCUCUGAUGUUAGCGGCGGACGGGUGAGUAACACGUGGAUAACCUACCUAUAAGACUGGGAUAACUUCGGGAAACCGGAGCUAAUACCGGAUAAUAUUUUGAACCGCAUGGUUCAAAAGUGAAAGACGGUCUUGCUGUCACUUAUAGAUGGAUCCGCGCUGCAUUAGCUAGUUGGUAAGGUAACGGCUUACCAAGGCAACGAUGCAUAGCCGACCUGAGAGGGUGAUCGGCCACACUGGAACUGAGACACGGUCCAGACUCCUACGGGAGGCAGCAGUAGGGAAUCCUCCGCAAUGGGCGAAAGCCUGACGGAGCAACGCCGCGUGAGUGACGAAGGUCUUCGGAUCGUAAAACUCUGUUAUUAGGGAAGAACAUAUGUGUAAGUAACUGUGCACAUCUUGACGGUACCUAAUCAGAAAGCCACGGCUAACUACGUG